CAGUCGCCGCGGGAAUACGAAGGGUGCAAGCGUUAAUCGGAAUUACUGGGCGUAAAGCGUGCGUAGGCGGUUUGUUAAGUCUGUUGUGAAAUCCCCGGGCUCAACCUGGGAAUGGCAAUGGAUACUGGCAAGCUAGAGUGUGUCAGAGGAUGGUGGAAUUCCCGGUGUAGCGGUGAAAUGCGUAGAGAUCAGGAGGAACAUCAGUGGCGAAGGCGGCCAUCUGGGACAACACUGACGCUGAGGCACGAAAGCGUGGGGAGCAAACAGGAUUAGAUACCCCCGUAGUCCCUGUCUCUUAUAC
rnacentral:rRNA from 1 species